UACAGAGGGUGCGAGCGUUAAUCGGAAUUACUGGGCGUAAAGCGCGCGUAGGCGGCUUUGCAAGUCGAGUGUGAAAUCCCCAGGCUCAACCUGGGAACUGCAUUCGAGACUGCAGUAGCUAGAGUAUGGGAGAGGGAAGUGGAAUUUCAGGUGUAGCGGUGAAAUGCGUAGAUAUCUGAAGGAACAUCAGUGGCGAAAGCGACUUCCUGGACCAAUACUGACGCUCACGUGCGAAAGCGUGGGGAGCAAACA
rnacentral:rRNA from 1 species